rfam:Ixodes scapularis strain Wikel colony gcontig_1108379402148, whole genome shotgun sequence.
CCCUGGUUUGCUCAGUUGGUAGAGCGCUCCACUUGUAAUGGAGAGGUCCCGGGUUCGAUACCCGGACCAGGCG